GAGUUUAUAAAUAGUCAAUUUGACGACUGGCUAGCACCUUUUAAGCCUAAAUUAACCUAUUUUUCAUUGAUUUGAUGUUAAUCUCCAACUUAAUGCUUAUUUGUGUAGGCAAAAGUUUAAAAGUGAAGAUGAGCAAGUCAUUCAAGUCAACAAGAGUUCAAAUGUGAAAGAAAUGAGUCAUCUAUUUUGUAUUCGCUUUGCAUCUUCUUUGGAUCUGAUUUCCAUCUACUUUCUACCUG
rnacentral:lncRNA from 1 species